UUGUCGUGUCGUAAAUAGAAGAAGAUAGACUACAACGAUUUAGAAGACAAUCUGUUUUUAUAGUAUUAAAUGGUACCAAUUAGUAAGACACAUACUAAAUUUGAUUCAAGUAGUGAUAGUCAGGACACUGAAUGGAAAGAUGAUGUGAAAAGUGUGCUAAUAGAACGUUCAUUCUGGAUGGAUAAUCAAGAAGAAGUAGUAUAUAUAUUAUGUUUUCUUUUGGGGUGCGUGAUACUUCAUUUUAUUGUUGUAAGAUGUGGUAUUAUACAUGGCCAUAACUUAAUAAUCCGAUUUCCUUGGUUUUUUCGGUUUUUUUUCGACAAUCGUGUUGAGCUAAAUCCUGUCCCUAGAGACAAUAAUCGUCAGCAAAUCCGUUAUCGGAAUAAUAGAAUUUAUUGGAAUAACGAUGCAUUGCAAUACCCAUUAGAAGACGAACUUUAAUUGGAAAAGAUAAUAUUGAUGUUUUGCACAUUGCCGCGAAGAUUCACUUGUCUGUGAUAAAUCUUAAUAAGAUCUCAUAAAUCUAUUAUGAAACCCGAUUCUUAAUUUCAAGUCGUUUAAACUACGCAUAGUUAUUAUGCAUAAUUAGUUUUUAAGAUAAAGUAUUUUUUAAUAAAUAUAUAAUGUAUUAACGAAUAGAAAAAUUAUUGCAAAUAUAAAUAAUUUUAACUUCAAAUCAGUUUUUAUAUGAAAUUUAAACCCAUUAACAUAUAAAUACAAAUUUUAAAAAUUUUAGCACAUUAACACAACUAACUUUAUACUUAUUUAAAAAAAAAUAUUAAUAUAUUUGAAAGUAUGGUAUACAUCUAUAUAUAAGUUUUUAGAUAAUAUAAACUAGAAUACGAAGUUAAAUUUAAGAAGAGCAAUAUAUUUGAAUAAUAUGAAUGUAUAUCAAAUAAAUAAAUAUAUAUAUAUUUUAA